CACACACAGGGAGAGAAAAUCAAGUUUCUAGGUCAGUCAAACAGCCUGGGAGCUGCUAAAUUUGAAUCCACCAAUCAGAGAGGCUGUGUACUUUUUCCCGCCAAAACAGGUGCAGCCGUUUUUACACACUCAGCACAGAGAGAGACAGGAUUUCUGCAGUGUAUUUCUCAUAGUGAGGAUUCCUCUCAAACAAAUGGCCAUAAUUUCCUAACCGUAGGGGCUAGAACAGUCAUUCUUACACCGUUUUGUUCAGA
ensembl:lncRNA